UGCUCCAACCCUUUCUCUAGAUCCCCACCAGCCGGUUUACAUCCACAGGGAUCCGGUGAGGCUGAUCUGCUCUGCUCCUGAAGGGCUGCAAGCAGCAGGAUACAGAUUUUAUUCCAGAGAGUCAGAAGAUGUGAUGAACGUUAAGGAAAUCAACGGGACCAGUGGAAAAACUGGGCAAUAUCAACUAACAGUUGAAGAAGGGACCGCUGGAGAAUACACAUGUCUGUUCUGGACGAUGGUGUCAGGGCGGGAGAUCCCUUCCCUGAGGAGCGACUCGGUCUCAGUGGCCGUGAGAGAUGGGGUUAAUUCCACCCUGCUGGCUGUUGGGUGUGCAAGCUGUGGCAUUCUGAUUCUUCUGGUGUGUUUCGUCAGCCUUUACAAGCACAAGUUCAAAGG